GCGGUAUGGUCGUAAUCA
rnacentral:rRNA from 4 species